rnacentral:rRNA from 1 species
CGGGGUGAGUAACGCGUGGAGAACCUGCCGUAUACUGGGGGAUAACACUUAGAAAUAGGUGCUAAUACCGCAUAAGCGCACAGCUUCGCAUGAAGCAGUGUGAAAAACUCCGGUGGUAUACGAUGGAUCCGCGUCUGAUUAGCUUGUUGGCGGGGUAAAGGCCCACCAAGGCGACGAUCAGUAGCCGGCCUGAGAGGGUGAACGGCCACAUUGGGACUGAGACACGGCCCAAACUCCUACGGAAGGCAGCAG